AACGAACGCUGGCGGCAUGCCUAACACAUGCAAGUCGAACGAGACCUUCGGGUCUAGUGGCGCACGGGUGCGUAACGCGUGGGAACCUGCCCUUAGGUUCGGAAUAACUCCCCGAAAGGGGUGCUAAUACCGGAUAAUGUCUUCGGACCAAAGAUUUAUCGCCUUUGGAUGGGCCCGCGUUGGAUUAGCUAGUUGGUAGGGUAAAAGCCUACCGAGGCGACGAUCCAUAGCUGGUCGGAGAGGAUGAUCAGCCACACUGGGACUGAGACACGGCCCAGACUCCUACGGGAGGCAGCAGUGGGGAAUAUUGGACAAUGGGCGAAAGCCUGAUCCAGCAAUGCCGCGUGAGUGAUGAAGGCCUUAGGGUUGUAAAGCUCUUUUACCCGAGAUGAUAAUGACAGUACCGGGAGAAUAAGCACCGGCUAACUCCGUG
rnacentral:rRNA from 1 species